rnacentral:rRNA from 1 species
GUGCCAGCAGCCGCGGUAAUACGUAGGGUGCGAGCGUUAAUCGGAAUUACUGGGCGUAAAGCGUGCGUAGGCGGUUCGUUAAGUUCGUUGUGAAAGCCCCGGGCUCAACCUGGGAACUGCAAUGGAAACUGGCGGGCUUGAGUGUGGCAGAGGGGGGUGGAAUUCCGCGUGUAGCAGUGAAAUGCGUAGAGAUGCGGAGGAACACCGAUGGCGAAGGCAGCCCCCUGGGCCAACACUGACGCUCAGGCACGAAAGCGUGGGGAGCAAACAGGAUUAGAUACCCUGGUAGUCC